rnacentral:rRNA from 1 species
GAUGAACGCUAGCGGCAGGCCUAACACAUGCAAGUCGAGGGGCAGCACGUCUUCGGAUGGUGGCGACCGGCGCACGGGUGCGUAACGCGUAUGCAACCUACCUCUUACAGUGGGAUAGCCCAGAGAAAUUUGGAUUAAUACCGCAUAGUAUACAGAUUCAGCAUUGGGACUGUAUUAAACAUUUAUGGGUAAGAGAUGGGCAUGCGUUCUAUUAGUUAGUUGGAGUGGUAACGGCACCCCAAGACAGCGAUAGAUAGGGGCCCGUGAGAGGGGGAGUCCCCCACCACUGGUACUGAGACACGGACCAGACUCCUACGGGAGGCAGCAGUGAGGAAUAUUGGACAAU